GGGCUGUUUUGGUAUUUAUUGGUCUCAGUACAAACAGUUUAAACAUAAUUUUGAUUUUUAUUUUGCAAAAACAUAAACGUAUAAAGAAAAUCUGUAAAAAAUAACGCACAAGCCACGCACGCAAGCGCAUGCACACACGUGGUCAUUGUUUUCAGCAGAAAAGAUAAUACUCUAUGGUCUUUCUGUUGGUUCCAUGGUUUGGUUGAGCCAAGCAAAUCCUUGCCUUUAGGAAUAUUGUUAACUUAGUGGUCUACAGCCACACAACCCACUGAGAAAUAUUGCAUGGCCUGGGGAGACAACUGGCCUGAUAACUGUUCUGUUCUAAGCCACUAAAAAUGCAAACAUUCAGGGUGGUCCAUUAGCACAUCUUUAUGAAAAUUAUCUCUCUCCUCUUCUCGUUUUCCAUUCCUCUCCCUCCUCCCCUCCCAUUCUCUCUUCUCCUCUAUCCUCCCUUUACUGGCACAUGAAGAGAUUCAAUUGAAAUCAUAUCUCUAUCUUUUGGGGUCAAACCAGAGUUUCAAACGGGUGUGAUGGUGGGGGCGGUGAUGGUGGUGAUGGUGGUGGUAGGGGUGGUACCCAAACAAAUAUGUUGGAACGGUGUGUUGACACAGGGUCCAUCAUUCCAUUAGAGAAAUAACAUUUCACGUUCUUCUAGAGAUCUCAGGGCCCUUUAGAUCGCUACUGCCAUGGCCCAACUGAGACGAAGCAAUUCAACCGCAGGCCAGGCGCUGCAGGUUAGGAGAGGUUGCAGGGCCAAUUGCAAAAGAACAAAAAGAUUCACAGUAGAUGACUACAGCCAAAUGAGUUGGAGUGGAGUGGCCUGACUAACGCUUUGUUGCGUUCUUUAUGAGACUCAUUUAUCAUAAAUCUGGACGUCUGUUUCCAUCCUCCCAUUGUCCUCAGCUCUGUCCCGGUCAGGGCUGCUGGAGCAAGGGGGCGGCGGGGGGGGGGGCAGGGAGACGAGGCCUUUUGCUACGGGUCAUUGAGUCAUUCUGGGAACUCUUAAUAGCUGCGUUUUUUACAUUUUCAAAACAUUGGUUGAUCCAAGAUUUGUAGAUUAGAAGCCCAACGCAACCCUUAACUGGAUCAAUGGUGCAGAGCUAUGGUUAGACAUCAAACCAGAACCUAAUAAUGAACCACUUACCCUUUAAUAAAAGCCAUGCACAUUCAAAAUUCUUAUAUACUAUUAUAAAAUAAUGGAUGAAGACUGGAGGCAGUCGGGCGAUUGGCACCAACCUCCUAACGUCAUGUGUGCUUCACCGUUAAAAUCGCCUCCUGUGGAGCACAAAAACACUCUGGGGCAC
ensembl:lncRNA